GUGAGGAAUUUUCCGCAAUGGGCGAAAGCCUGACGGAGCAAUGCCGCGUGAAGGAUGAAGGCCUAUGGGUUGUAAACUUCUUUUCUCAGAAAAGAAUUAUGACGGUAUCUGAGGAAUAAGCAUCGGCUAACUCUGUGCCAGCAGCCGCGGUAAGACAGAGGAUGCAAGCGUUAUCCGGAAUGAUUAGGCGUAAAGCGUCUGUAGGUUGUUUAAAAAGUAUUCUGUCAAAGAUUAGGGCUUAACCCUAGAUAGGCAGAAUAAACUUUUAAGCUAGAGUUUGGUAGAGGCAGAGGGAAUUCCCGGUGGAGCGGUGAAAUGCGUAGAUAUCGGGAGGAACACCAAAGGCGAAGGCACUCUGCUGGGCCAAUACUAACACUGAGAGACGAAAGCGAGGGGAGCAAAUGGGAUUAGAAACCCUGGUAGUCC
rnacentral:rRNA from 1 species